rnacentral:lncRNA from 10 species
CUGCUUUAACAUGCUUCUCAGGAACUUAAGGGAUGUAGAUUGAAAAAAAAAAAUAAAAGCCUGGGAAAGAAUGAGCUAUUGAGAAUUUCUAAAUGUCAGUGUGAUAGGCUUUAGAGGCAGUGAGUGUGGAACCAACUUGUGUUUUCAAAGGGGCUGUAAGAAUUUGUAAUUCAGGGGAGACAUGAGCAGAGUUCAAAAUAGGGUGACAUUGAAGGGAAAGGAUUCAGGAGUUUGAAUCAGAGGAUCUUGAUUGUACGUUGGGGAUAAAAGCUGGGGAGGAGUCAUUGAUGUCUCACAGAUUUCUGGUUCAUACAAUAAUGAGAAUGAUGGUCACAUUUGGAUUGUGAAGCAAGGACCACGAGCCAGCCCUGGCAACCUUCUUGGACAUGCCUCAGCUCCUGGUGGGCUGCCGUACUGCCCUGCUCCAUUUCCCUCCUGGGUACAGCCAGGAAAGAAGAAAGGCAAACUAUCUGAUGAUGGGAGGAAGCACACUAGAAUUGCCAAGUUGCACAAAUUUCAAUCAUGCCCAUUUACCUGGAGGACUUCAGACGAGUACAGAAUCUUUUCAAAAGAGGGGACCGUUGUUUUUUCUUUGUUCAAAAGGAGACCAUUAAUAAAUGAAGCUGCCAUCCUACAAUUUCCCUACUCUCCCAGUAUGUGAGUUAUAUGAUUUGCUGCAUCAGACAAAACUGUAAGUGACUUGUCUCAUUAUGUUCUGUCCUGAGAUGACAGUACAAGUAUCAUGGGAACAUGAAAAAAUGAGGCAAUACAUUUGUGCUUCUUUCUUUUACCAUUA